UAGUAAUAGGUAUGCUUUAGGAGGGGCUAUGCGCCAUAUUAGUUAGUUGGUAGGGUAAUGGCCUACCAAGACGAUGAUGUGUAGCUGGACUGAGAGGUUGAACAGCCACAUUGGGACUGAGACACGGCCCAAACUCCUACGGGAGGCAGCAGUAGGGAAUUUUCGGCAAUGGAGGAAACUCUGACCGAGCAACGCCGCGUGAAUGACGAAGUACUUCGGUAUGUAAAGUUCUUUUAUCAAGGAAGAAAAGCAAAUGGCGAACCAUUUGUUUGCCGGUACUUGAUGAAUAAGCCCCGGCUAAUUAUGUGCCAGCAGCCGCGGUAAGACAUAAGGGGCAAGUGUUAUCCGGAAUUAUUGGGCGUAAAGGGUGCGUAGGCGGUCUAGUAAGUCAGUGGUGUAAUGGCAACGCUUAACGUUGUCCGGCUAUUGAAACUGCUAAACUUGAGUUAGAUAGAGGCGAGUGGAAUUCCAUGUGUAGCGGUAAAAUGCGUAAAUAUAUGGAGGAACACCAGAGGCGUAGGCGGCUCGCUGGGUCUUAACUGACGCUGAGGCACGAAAGCGUGGGGAGCAAACAGGAUUAGAUACCCUGGUAGUCCACGCCGUAAACGAUGAGUACUAAGUGUCGGGUUAAACCGGUACUGAAGUUAACACAUUAAGUACUCCGCCUGAGUAGUACGUACGCAAGUAUGAAACUUAAAGGAAUUGACGGGACUCCGCACAAGCGGUGGAUCAUGUUGUUUAAUUCGAAGAUACCCGAAAAACCUUACCAGGUCUUGACAUGUUUUUGCAAAAUGAUAGUAAUAUCGUGGAGGUUACCAGAAACACAGGUGGUGCAUGGUUGUCGUCAGCUCGUGUCGUGAGAUGUUAGGUUAAGUCCUAAAACGAGCGAAACCCUUAUCGUUAGUUGCCAGCACGUUAUGGUGGGGACUUUAACGAGACUGCCAAUGAUAAAUUGGGAGGAAGGUGAGGAUCACGUCAAAUCAGCAUGCCCCUUAUGACCUGGGCUACAAACGUGAUACAAUGGCUGUUACAAAGGGUAGCUGAAACGCAAGUUCUUGGCCAAUCCCCAAAAACAGUCCCAGUCCCGGAUUGAAGUCUGCAACUCGACUUCAUGAAGUUGGAAUCGCUAGUAAUC
rnacentral:rRNA from 1 species